AUGCGAGAAGGCGCCCGUUGUUCCCGAGGUGAUUCCCGCUCGUGGUGUGGCGACUGUGUCCGGGCAUCCCCUUCUGUGAAAACCACCACUGCCUCUGCUGUCUCUCAGGGCACUGCCAGUUCUACUACAGCCUCUGUAAGUGCUCUUCUCUGCUAUAGCCUCUAAGACGAACCUCAGAACAUUUCUUAACUAAUAUCAUUACAACCAUUAAAACAUGGCAGAAACAAAACUGUAUCACUGUAACGGUUCUGUAACGACAGACGCUGGGCGACGAAAAGCAAGUACAGGGUGUGGAUUUAAUAAUAAAUAGACAUGAACCAAAACAAGAAGAGCGUCUGGACAGGAGAAACAUAACUAUAUCAAUGCUG
rnacentral:lncRNA from 8 species